rnacentral:rRNA from 1 species
CCUUGAAAUACCACCCUUUAAUGUUUGAUGUUCUAACGUUGACCCGUAAUCCGGGUUGCGGACAGUGUCUGGUGGGUAGUUUGACUGGGGCGGUCUCCUCCUAAAGAGUAACGGAGGAGCACGAAGGUUGGCUAAUCCUGGUCGGACAUCAGGAGGUUAGUGCAAUGGCAUAAGCCAGCUUGACUGCGAGCGUGACGGCGCGAGCAGGUGCGAAAGCAGGUCAUAGUGAUCCGGUGGUUCUGAAUGGAAGGGCCAUCGCUCAACGGAUAAAAGGUACUCCGGGGAUAACAGGCUGAUACCGCCCAAGAGUUCAUAUCGACGGCGGUGUUUGGCACCUCGAUGUCGGCUCAUCACAUCCUGGGGCUGAAGUAGGUCCCAAGGGUAUGGCUGUUCGCCAUUUAAAGUGGUACGCGAGCUGGGUUUAGAACGUCGUGAGACAGUUCGGUCCCUAUCUGCCGUGGGCGCUGGAGAACUGAGGGGGGCUGCUCCUAGUACGAGAGGACCGGAGUGGACGCAUCACUGGUGUUCGGGUUGUCAUGCCAAUGGCACUGCCCGGUAGCUAAAUGCGGAAGAGAUAAGUGCUGAAAGCAUCUAAGCACGAAACUUGCCCCGAGAUGAGUUCUCCCUGACUCCUUGAGAGUCCUGAAGGAACGUUGAAGACGACGACGUUGAUAGGCCGGGUGUGUAAGCGCAGCGAUGCGUUGAGCUAACCGGUACUAAUGAACCGUGAGGCUUAACCUUACAACGCCGAAGCUGUU